GAUGAAGAACGCAGCGAAAUGCGAUAAGUAGUGUGAAUUGCAGAAUUCAGUGAAUCAUCGAAUCUUUGAACGCACAUUGCGCCCCUUGGUAUUCCAUGGGGCAUGCCUGUUCGAGCGUCAUUUGUACCUUCAAGCUCUGCUUGGUGUUGGGUGUUUGUCUCGCCUCUGCGUGUAGACUCGCCUCAAAACAAUUGGCAGCCGGCGUAUUGAUUUCGGAGCGCAGUACAUCUCGCGCUUCGCACUCAUAACGACGACGUCCAAAAGUACAUUUUUACACUCUUGACCUCGGAUCAGGUAGGGAUACCCGCUGAACUUAAGCAUAUCAAUAAGCGGAGGA
rnacentral:misc_RNA from 1 species